UGGGUGGUGAACAACAAAAGGAAAGGUGGUUCAGUUUGGGCAAGGCCUCAAAAGGUCGGAUGGGUCUGAAACUUUGAAGGCCUUUCUCUGUUCUCCCACACAGAUCCUUCUCGCUUUUCUGCCUGCCUAUUGUCAACCCCAGUGUGGGAAGGGAAGAGUUGUCUUAGUUCUGGCACACUUUCUCUCUAGAGCUUUGGUCAGCUUCUGUAGUGAAAUCUUGCACCUUCAGAGUUUCUGCAGCAUUAAGGGACCUCAGAGCAUAUUGGCUUCCCUCUGCCAAACCUAGAGCAACCCCUGAAUAUGCAAGAUUUGAAGGCAGCUACUGGCUUCGGAUUGAUUUCAGCAAAGGUUUGGCAUGUCUGACUCUGAGCCCUCUCUCCUUAGACUGCUAUGAAGGAUGCCAAAUCUGUGAUGGCAAUACAGAAAUAUAACUGGUAAUUGGAUAUACCUGAUGAACAGAGAGAUGGAGUGGACAGAUGGUUCUCAGCAUCCACAUAUUUGCAUUUAUAUGUGAUUUGGGCUGUGAACAAACAGGCACUAAAAACGAGGACCACAACCUUACAUCAAACAGAAAGACACCUGCUGGCUUUUAUUGAUGUGAAAAAUGGUGGGGAUGCUGAUCUCGGCAUGUGAGGUGCUACCCAUGUGAUCUGUGAUGCCAAGUAUCCCAGCUCGGAAACCACUGAGUCAUGACAUACAUAGCCAGAUGGGGCUAGGAGAGUCAGUAAGGACUCCCAAGUGCCCUCUUCCUCUUUUUCAUUUUACUUCUGUACCAACGGAGCUGCUUCCAAAUGGUUUUAUGCAUAGCCAGCUGGGAGUAUCAAGGUCUUUGUCUCACCUGCGGCCCAUUACAUUACUUUCUUGAACUCAUAUUGUUUUCUUUGAAUCACACUUCCAAAGAGACUCCCCAUUCCACCACUAAAGCUCCACAAAUAUGCACUGGCUUUACGUGCUGGGGUAACCCCUUCCUUCUAGUAACCCCAGGGACUUGAAUACUUCCAAACAGGACAAUGAGCAAAGCUGGUUAAGGCUGCUGCUAACAGACCAGCAGGUGUCACUAUAGAAUGAUGCCAAGUUACCUUUCCCUCUGGAAGCGGAGAACGCAGCCUCUGGACUUUUUAUUGUAUCCUUCCACCUAUAAAGCCAGGUAAAUUUAAGCCAAACAAACAAACAAUCCCUAUAUCAUCUGGGUUGCCUUAGAAUCAGAGAGCGAAUCAUUUAUGGGCAAGAAUCUUUCUCAUUUGCAUAGCAUAGGCUUCCAGUAGUUAGAAACAUGCUUUCAAAAAAAUUACUUUUCCUCGGAAAACAACAACUACGGCAAGACUAUCUAGCUAUUGAAAA